ACACACGCACACCCAUACAGCAUCCCCGGAAAAUAAAUAAAAGUAAAUAAUAAUAUAAAUCAAAAUUAUUGCGGAUCUUAAGGCUUUGGAUAAACUAAAACCACAAAAUGCAGGCCAAAAAGCGUUAUAUUUUGGUCUUCGUUUCCUGCGCUUUUUUGGCCUACGCCUAUUUCGGUGGCUAUCGCCUGAAAGUCUCGCCAUUAAGACCCCGUAGAGCCCAGCACGAAUCGGCCAAGGAUGGUGGAGUCCAACCGCACGAGCAGUUGCCCAGCUUCCUGGGCGCCCACGAUCUGCAGGAACUCCAACUGCUGCAGAGCAAUCAAUCGAAGAGUUUGGAGAGCUCCAAGCACCUGGUUACCCGUAAACCCGACUGCCGCAUGGAGACCUGUUUCGAUUUUACCCGCUGUUAUGAUCGCUUUUUGGUCUAUAUCUAUCCACCGGAACCACUCAACUCACUGGGCGCUGCCCCGCCCACCUCGGCCAACUAUCAAAAGAUACUCACUGCCAUCCAGGAAUCGAGAUACUAUACCAGUGAUCCCACGGCCGCCUGUCUCUUUGUGCUCGGUAUCGAUACCCUGGAUCGGGAUUCGCUAUCCGAGGAUUAUGUUCGGAAUGUGCCAUCCAGACUGGCGAGAUUGCCGUAUUGGAACAAUGGCCGGAACCACAUCAUCUUCAAUCUGUACUCCGGCACUUGGCCGGAUUACGCGGAGAACUCAUUGGGUUUCGAUGCGGGCGAGGCCAUUUUGGCCAAGGCCAGCAUGGGAGUGCUCCAACUGCGACACGGAUUCGACGUCAGCAUCCCGCUCUUCCACAAGCAAUUCCCGCUGAGGGCCGGCGCCACAGGAACCGUGCAGUCCAACAAUUUCCCCGCCAACAAGAAGUAUCUGCUGGCCUUCAAAGGAAAGCGAUACGUGCAUGGCAUUGGAUCGGAGACGCGCAACUCGCUCUUCCAUUUGCACAACGGACGCGACAUGGUCCUGGUCACCACCUGUCGCCACGGGAAGAGUUGGCGGGAGCUGCAGGAUAAUCGCUGCGACGAGGACAACCGGGAAUACGACAGAUACGACUACGAGACCUUACUGCAAAAUUCCACAUUCUGCUUGGUGCCGCGCGGACGUCGUUUGGGUUCCUUUAGAUUCCUCGAAGCCUUGCAGGCUGGUUGCAUUCCCGUACUAUUGUCCAAUGCCUGGGUGUUGCCGUUUGAAUCGAAAAUCGAUUGGAAGCAGGCCGCCAUUUGGGCCGAUGAGCGCCUCCUGCUGCAGGUGAGCCGGAGCAUACAUACAUACAUAUAUUUAUUGAUAUCUGUGGACGUACGGGUCUAUAUGGAAUCUAUAUAUAUAUAUAUAUGUACUUAUACAUAUAUAUGAAAUAUUGAUAGGUAGUUCGUGUGCCACUUUUUGGAGUCGUUUGGUCAAAGCGAUUUCAUUUCAGUCCUGUCUAAAAAGAGUAAAGUUUUCAUUGUUUAUGUGCGCCGCUUGUUUGGCUGGCUGGCAGUUGUAGCCCCUUUUGAAAACAACGCAGAGAGCUGUCACAAAUAUGCACUUUUUAUUGGUCUCUUUAAGUAUCUGGCCAUUUGCCGUUGAUGAAUAUUCUGUAACGAGGCAGCAAGAUUUGUGCACCUGUUUGCCGGUGCUCAGAGAUCCUGAAAUGUCCUUGGUGGUCCAAGCUGCUUGAUAUCCAGUAAACCUAUUUUUGUAAUUAUCGUAGUAAGCCAUGCCUUUGAAUGUUUUGAACAUAAACUUUAAAGUGUCCCAAAAAACUAUGUAUUCCUGUUGACAAAACUACUAGCAUAAACCUGAGAUAAUUCCCAGUAAAAUGAAUCGAAAGACAGCAAGAGCAAGAAUCCCCCUCAAGUCUUAACGGCUCAACUUUGGCUGCUCCAUUAGGAGGAGCGCUUAGUCCACUGGUAGCCUCUGUUUGCGGCCAAGAUUUGCCAAUCAGAGCCAGGUGCCCGACAUCGUGCGCUCCAUACCGGCGGAACGCAUCUUCGCCCUCCGCCAGCAGACGCAGGUCCUGUGGGAACGCUACUUCGGA
rnacentral:misc_RNA from 1 species